AUUGAACGCUAGCGGGAUGCUUUACACAUGCAAGUCGAACGAGUGGCGGACGGGUGAGUAAUAUAUCGGAACGUGCCCAGUAGCGGGGGAUAACUACUCGAAAGAGUGGCUAAUACCGCAUAAUAUUGGAGAGGCAGUUUUCGGAUUAGCUAUUUGGUGGGGUAAAGGCUCACAAAGGCAACGAUCCGUAGCGGGUUUGAGAGGACGACCAGCCACACUGGCACUGAGACACGGCCCAGACUCCUACGGGAGGCAGCAGUGGGUAAUUUUGGACAAUGGGGGAAACCCUGCUCCAGCCAUCCCGCGUGUAUGAGAAGGCCUUCGGGUUGUAAAGUACUUUUGGCAGAGAAGCGGUAUCUGCAGAAUAAGCACCGGCUAACUACGUGCCAGCAGCCGCGGUAAUAC
rnacentral:rRNA from 1 species